GGGGCCGACCGGUUUUGACAGCAAGAUGAACGGGUAGGUAAGCAUGCCGUGCAUUGCGGGCUUGGCACGUUAAUCUUAAGCUCGCAACGUCGUUAACUGGCGAAGAUUAUAACUACGCAAUGGCUGCGUAAUCACGACUCAGUCGGAUUACCUUAAUUCUGCGUGAAGCAAAGUAGCGCAGAACCAUUACUCCUCAAAAGGGUUGGUUCAUUACCCUUUUGUUUAUGGAGUAUCAAAAAAAUGGACUAGUUGGUAAGUUGCCUCGGCUUACCAAUGAAAUUAAAGAGGCUAAGCAGAUGAUAGGUUGCUUGUUACCGGUCAUCUGUCGAAAAUCAAUAACAAGCUAAGCAUGUAGAAAUCCUACCUGUUCCUUGUUUGGACGAGGGUUCGAUUCCCUCCGGCUCCACU
rnacentral:tmRNA from 1 species